UCGAUGAACCAGUGGGUCCUUUUCAACCUAGUGAUUCUAUGAUUCUAAAGACAUGUGCUUGAAUUAAGAAACACUUCUUGGAAAUGCAGUCCAUGGAAGUAAUUUUCACUGUUUUCUUACUGUCUGGCGAAAAUGAAUUGCCUGUAUUUUUUAUCUGCCCUUAUGUUAACAUGAUGGACUGAAGCCUGUAGGUGAAAAAUGAUUCAUUGUGUGGACAAGCUUCUCAUCUUCUGUUGCUUUGUGGAGCAAAACUACAGGGCCAACCAGCAAAGCCGUUGCCUCUCUCCCACCCAUAAACAGAUGUACCUUGAGCACCAGUUUCCAUUAGAGGUGCCUUUCUGCUGUUGAGUUUUCUUACCUAUAAUUGUCAAAACCUUUGAACUAUGUAUGCCUCCAGUUGCUCUUUCGGGCUGGUGACCCCCAGAGUUGCCCUUGUCUUGUGCUGGGGCAAGGUGGGCUGUGACAGAGGCCAUGGAGCAAAGGCAACCCAAGAUGCUCAGUCCCCGCUGCAGUGUGCGAUGUCUUGUGGCGGUUAUUAAUGCCUCUGCUUUGCUUACCCAAGUGCUUAAACGGUUCAAUACACUUGCAGACCUGUCCUUAUACUAUUGUUGGGAAAGAUUCAUUAGGACUUUGGCUGGAAAUUAUAGUGACAGAUAUAGAGCUGGGUAAUUUAUGGUUUUUCUUGAGGGCUGCGCAAUUAUUCAAUAAGUGUCUUUCCUUUCUCUCCCUCCCUCCAGCCACUUGUUGGAAAUAAAUAUUGAAUUUAUUUGCAGAAAAGUAGCUAUUGACAAAGUUGUGAAUGGCUGGAGAAACCUCGUGGGGCCCUUCAGAUAUAUUUACCCACUUUCCUCUGCAGGGACGAGCUCUCUGUUCCUAGCUCUUUGCUGUGCAUGGAUUGCCUCCUCGACAUCAUUUUCACUCGGUGUUCCCCAUCUGCUCCUCAUGAGGCCCCUGCUCGCCCUGGGCUGCCCAGCAAUGGGGACGGUCCCACUGAGGGCAGUCCUAGCCCCCCAAAUCAGGCUCUGGCUCAGUAGUUCCUGCUGGAGGACAUCUGUCUCACGUGGUGAACCUUCUCUGUCUGCGCUCAUCUCAGUGUCUAACGAUGGGCGGAGUCUGCCUGGGCUGCCUCUGGGCUCCUGUCAGGGGAAAGUGGGCUUAAAAGUGCCAUUAUGAGGUGAAGCAACCAGGACAGAGCACAACAUCCUUGAUGAGGAUCCUCCAUGCUUUCAAUGAAGGUAUUGGCGUUAGAGCAUUUUGCCUGUUAUCUCUCCCACUCCUUUGUGUUUUAACAUUUUGUUUGAAUUAGUGGGGCCUGUUCCUCGCAGCGUGCAUGACUACACAUUUGUCUACUUUGGAUUUCAUCCGCCAUUGACUGGCCCAUCCAUCAAGCUCUCUUCAGGCCUUUUGAAGUUCCCUGUAGUCUUCUCUUGUUCCGAACGCUCUGCACAAUUUGGGUCCUCUGCCAGAUUUUUCUUAUGACAUUUUUCAUUCUCCUUUUCCAGAUCAUUAAUGCAUCUCUUUAACCACCGGCAUUAACACGAAAACUUAGGGAGCCUCCCCAUGAGUACCGUAGCCUUCUGGAAGGUAGCUCUCAUUAAUAGAUGCUGGUUUGCCUCUGUUUCCAACCGUUAGAGUUACUUUUUCCAUUUACUUUGCAAACGUUUAAUUCCCCUAAUAGCCUCUUGUAUGGGACCUUGUCAGAGAGCUUUGAAACCCUAAACACAUUAUGUCAAGUAGUUCUCCUUACUUUGCCCUCCUGAUGAUGGGAAAAAGCAUCCUAGCUGAUUAGAGGCACGAACUUCCUUUUAGGAAGCCAGGACAGCUCAUCCCCUUCUUACUUAGUUAAUUUACACGUUUUAAAAUUCAGCUUUUUAUAAGAACCUUCAUCUCUAACCACCGUUUCAAUUCUUGCAGCCUUAAAAAGAGACAUGUCUUUACGCCUGCUGGAGAGCAGACAAUUUCCCUUGCUGGCUCUUUUGUUAGCAGCCAGGUCACUUGGCGAGUAAGAGCCGUCAGAGCCUUUGGGUGUUUCCUUUUCAACUACAGAAGCUUUGUGCUGGACGGACUCAUACAAUCUUUGCUCCUUUGGCAUUGCUCUUUGUAGAAAUACUUCAUUGUUAUCACCUGAAAAUAAUAGGCAUCCCUCUGCUGUCUCUGCUAGGCAUAAGCUGGUUUAAAAGAAACCCUCCUCACUUCUUCUGCAAUGCCUUUGCCUGCCCCGGCUCUUCCCGUUGAACCCUGGCAAUGCCGGCAAGUCAAGUCAUGCACUGGUGCCAAGGAGGGAGGAUGGAGCUGAUAAGAUCCCGGCUGAAGCUGGGCUGUCUCUACAUUAAAGGUACAAGGUAGAAACCUGUUUCGCUCGCUGCCGCGUGAUUCAUGCCUCUUCGCUGCCGUGAAUCAUCCAGGCUGUUGUGUAAGGUUUACGCUGCUCGCGCGGCAGGGCUGUAUUUUCUGUAGCUUUUAUAAAGUUCUGCACAAUUUAUACGUGCUGUUCCUGAUUUAAAACAUUUAUGCUCUUUAUUCAAGGCUUUAGGAUUUAUGCUUCCUGAAUCCUGGAAACCUGGGAAUGGCACCACUGGUGGGAUAAUCCUGGGGCCAAGGUGCUGUUUAUUGUUAUCAGAAAUUAUCCUACUCCACAGAGAAUUCUGACCAUGAGGAGGGGAAAACUGUCUUUCUCUCCACCACCGAUUUCCAUGAAUCUUUAAGCAGGAGGAAUUCUUCCCCUGAAUAGUGUGUAUUGGUGACGAUAUUUAACUCUAAGAAUAUGUGACAGCUCAUCAGAGGAGAGAGCAAGAUGAUUUUGGGGCAGUGGAGGGAAUGCUGAGCACCUUCGCCAGGAGUAGCUGCUCCACGAGGAGCUCCCGCAGCAGCCCUGGGCAGAUGCUAGGCAGGAAAACCAACUGCACUUAAUGAUGGGGUAAACCCUUCCCGUCCUGCUGGGGUACCCUGUGCCUGAGCAGCUGGGGGAAUUCCCGAGCACUGCUGCCUGCCCCGGCCAGGACUUGAGGUUUUGUGUUUUUUAAACAGUGUGUGGCGAUUUUUGCCUAAGCUUUUCCAGACAAACCUUUUGUGCCGUAUUACCUGUCUAGCUGGGCUCUUAUCUCAGUGUUUAUCACUGCCGCCUCUCCCUGUCAGCACUGUUUAUGGGCAGGGGAACCGAAACCCUAUGCUAAGAAAUUUUCUCCUCCUCUUUUCUUUCAAAUCUGCAUCUGUUCCAGACUCUCUUUCAUUAGAGACCACAUGAAAGCCAAAACAAUCCCAGGCUAUCAGGCACAGAAACCUUUGCAAGGUAAACCCUCUUCUGGUAAAUAAGUCACACCCUGGCCUGGGCUCUGCCCUAGCACCAGGUAGGUCCUGUCCAGCCCAUGCCACCUACAUCCCUAUUCCUGCAUACCUGCGAGUCCUCCAGCACCCACUGGGGUGUUUGCAGAGCCACGGUGAAAAUUCAAAGUGCAAAAUAAUGAGAGACCCCAAAGAUGAGGUCUUGCACCUGCAUCCCGGUUGGUGCAGCGAUGGUGCACAGUGAGCGCCCUGGGGGAUUUGAGGGGCAGGGAACUCUCUGCCUCUUUUACCUGUUGUAAAAAUAUUUGUAGAGUUGUGGCAGGCUGUAAAGAGUGAUUUUUGAGGAGGGAGGAGCAGGGCUGAUACCGAUUAGGCAGGAAAUGGCUCAGGGUGGAUGGCAUCCAUAUGGGAGAGCUGAUAGAUUUGGUGUCUCCAAAGGCAUUGCUUGAUGGAUCCACUGAUAACCUGGCAGCAAAACAGAAAUGGUCUCUCUGAUUCUCUGCCAGGAGCUGAGCCUCAGCCUGCUUGGUUGGCCUUUGUUAACACCUUUCUCCUAUGGGAACCUGCCACCCUGCCCUGGGGACCUGUAGCCCCAUUGUCCCCCCAGGAGCCCUGGGAGGGCUCAGCCAGCUGGUCCCCACGGUGCUGCCUGCCAGGGAUGCUGCUCCGGCUCCUUCCCUUUGAAGACUCAGUGUGAAAUCUGGUUGGAGUUUAGGGAGGCAGGAGGGCAGUGUACAGAGCAGCCUGAGUCCUUGGGAUGAAAAAGCUUCAUUUUGCAGCUCUGGAAAGAAUCAGCGGGUUUCCACGCUGGGCUCCUGCCUUGCAUUGGAGACAGAUGGGGAGAGUAUGAAACACAGGGAAGGCAGCCGGCUGCUCCCACCAUGCCAGGGGCUGGCUUGUUCGUGGGCAUGAGUCCUGCUCCACAUCUUUCUCAGAGUGGUUUAAUUUCACCGCCCUUUUCUGCACCUCCACAACAUGCGCCUCCACAAAAGCCUGCAUGGAGGUGGUGUAAAGCUAAUGGCCCAGAUGUGCUACAGGAGACCCUCGGGGUGGCUGAGAUCCCAGCAAGGUCUCUGUGAGAAGGAGGGCUGGUGCAUCCUGUUUCAAAGUGCAUCUCCCUCCCUGGAAGCUGGCAGUGGAAACAAGGGGAAUUUAGAGGAAAAAAAGAAAAUCAAACUGUAGCAGAGUGCUUCCACUUUCUGGAAAUGAAGCAAGAUGGGGGAAAAGUUGAGUUACAGGGUACAGUGGUCCCUUGCAGAGAUGAAUAAGUGGAGACUUCGGAGGCAGCAGCCACUCUGCUGGCUGGUGCUCAGAGCUGUUGAGGGUCUUCAGCCUCUCCCCACCCCUUGUCUACACUGAUAAAACACAAAUCAUGAUACUGAGCCCUGGUAUGGCUUAGCAGGGAAAUUUUGCACAGGGGGGAUUCCCCCCUACAUGCCUGACUCUGGGUAUUAUUCCCCUCUGUCAGUCCAAGUUCUGCUUCCCACACGCUUCCAAACAGGUCCCGUGCAGCAGAGGAUCCUGGCACCCAUCUUCUUGGGCUCACCAGUGCAAUGCUCCCACUAUGUUCCUCAUCCCAUUCCUCCAUCCCUCGCUGGUGCUGCCCAGUGGCACCCAGCACCCGAGGGGGUCUCCUGGUGCAGCGUGGCUCAGCUCUGCCCGUGCUGCUGACAAGUGUGUGCUUGGAGCAAACCAAGUUCUGUGGCAGAAGGUGAGAUACGUAACAGUUGCUUUAAAGCUGCCACAGACUACAGCAAAUUCGAUGGCUAAAAUACAGCCUCUGAAAGCCCCGGCGGCCCUCCUGCUCACUGGCUUUAUCUGUCACAGGAAGAGCUGUUUGCUGGUGCACCUCAGUCACGGCCUCCUCGGCUACAAGUCAGGACUGUAAUUUCCCUGUGGUUAUUUCUAAGAUAACUUAUUUCAGCAUUUUAUGAUGCUUACAAAUUGGACAACAUCUUAAAACAUAAUUCAGGCCUUAACUGGCUUUAAAUGUGUGUGAUUUUACAGGGAUGUGUAAAAUAUUUUUAAGCGUUGGUAAAUUCCAGGGACUGGAGCCUUGGAUGGAUGGGGAAGGAUGGAGGGUUCGGCCCAAAAAGGAUUUUGGAGACCCAGCCUGGGAAACAGCAAUGGGAGUCAUUUAAUAUUGUGAGGAGCUAUGUGGCUGGAGUAGGUCAUAAGGAAUGUAACAAAUUUGGUAUGGGUAGUGAGUAUGCAUCUCCUCUUUCCCAUAAAAUUGGUUUAAUUUGAACAAAUUACCUGUGUGUUUGGGCACUCGACCCUGAUAGGCGAGAGGUGCUGUGGUAGGGAGAUGGUUCCCGGGCACUGGAAAUAAAAGGGAGCAGAUGAUCCAGAGUUGAAGGUGUGUUUCUCAGGAAUACCAACCAAAGCAGCAGCAACCGACUGUGUGAACAGUCUUGUGCCUUUGCGUGAUUUUCCACCGAAACCCUUCCUGCUAUGGAAGGUGGUUGCCCUGGUGUGGGCCAGGUGCUGCUGCCCUGGCUUCUGCAGCACUUGCUUGGCCACCAGCAAAGCAGCAGCCAUGGGUGGGAGGCAAACCGCACCCUGAGAAUUUUGGGGUCCAGAAUGGGGGGUGUGGGGGUGGAAGAGGGCUGCAGCCACCCUGCCUCUUGCUGGGUACAAGUAUGAGAUCUGGCAGAGCCGUGAGGGCUCCCACCAUUCAUGCAAGGCUGUGGCCAGGCGGGGAACCAGCUUCCUGCCGUGUGUUUUGGAGAGCAACCCAGUGAGGAGAGCAUUCCAGAGCCAGCCUACAGGGUGUGGGGCAGGGAUGUUUCUGUUGGGUACUGCCUUCAUUAGUGAGCUGCAGGAGGCACUGCUUCAGCUGGGAUCAGAUUUGCCGAUACUGACAGAACCAGGACUGUUUACACAGUGCAGUCCUGGGCAAAGGUAUCCAGGUGGAUCACAUGGUGAGACCAAGCAGGGAUUUGGUCCUUCUCCUUUGCAAGCAGAAGGGAUGACCCAGCUGGCUACCAUAGGGGAGAAGCUAAGGAAAAUGAUUGUGCAGAGAAGAAACAGAGGGAAAUCCGGAUCCCAAAACAAACAUGAUCCCACAGUGAGGAGUGGGCGCCGCUCUCAGCGAUGCAAUGCUGGGAGCAAAAUUCCUUCCAAGCAGGGAGGAAGGAGAACCGUCCCAAGCAAACUGGCUGUUAUGGCUGGUGACGUCUUGGUGAGCAGAGCUUACAGAGGUGAGAGAUGCACAGAUGUGGCACCAGCCUACCUGCCCUCAUCUCCAGCGCCUGAAGCAGGCAGGGAUCUCUGUGGGUGUUUGUAUUUGCAGAAAUAACACUGUUGUCUUGCUCUACCCUUUUGUGAGGCUGUGGGGAUUUUGCUGAAAUGCAAUCCUAAGGAAGGCCUGGGAUUUUGGCUGCCGUUUCAGGCACAUAAGGAAGAUGUUAUUGUCAAGUGUUCCCCUCCACCCCAGCAGAGCGAUGUUGCAGAGGUUGCCGGAGGCUGCGGGCAGGCAGGGGGAGCUGAUAAUACCCCUGGGCAAGGCAGAGCGGCAGCAGAGAAGCCAAGCGAGUUCUUUGGUGUGUGGUCUGCCAUUGCAGUAGCACUCACGGCCAGGCUCGCCUGGCCUGGCAGCUUUUCUCCAUUGCCGAGCUCAGAUGAUGGUAACUGUCAGUCUCAUCACUAAAGCCCACGUGAGCUUUUCUUCUUUCCUCUCUUCCAAAAAAAGCAACUUCCAGCCCACGGGAGAAAGCUGAUCGUAACGGUGGAGACACUGUGGUGAUGCAUCCUCUCACCAACACCUACCCACGUCUGCGGAAGGAAGGACUUGCCUGGGCAGACAUCCUGGCCAGGCAGCCCCAAGCCUCUGCCACGGGGGAUGGAGUGCAGGGGGAGAAUCCGGCCACAGCUGCCUGCUUUAUUGGCACUAGGAUCUUUCAUAACCCCAUCAGCGGAGGAGGAGAGACUGUGAUUAACAUCCCUCCAGAGCAGAUUGUUUUGGGAGAUGCUGCAGAUCCCUGGGAGACACCCCAAGAAAGCUUUGCCUGAAUCUCCUCGGGGACAGGCAGAGCCAAGGGGAUCCCUUCCUCCAUGCGCAGCCUGCACCCACAAAACGUGCUGAGCUCCUGCAAGAAUGCCCCAGGGGACAGCAAGGUGCUGGGGACCCAUGAAGCUAUUAUUGGGCUCUGGCUUCAUGUUGCCAGCAGGCGCAGGGUGCCCUGGCCACAGCAGCUGUGCACGAGACUCUGGGUGUUAUUUGCUGGAGAGAAUCCAGGGGUGGACCAUAGAUUUUGGGAAGCCUUUCUCCAUUCUGAAGCUCCCCAUUGGGCAGGUUUGUGGGUGGAGGGGAGUGUCUUGGGGACUUAACAAUUCUGGAUGUUUUUCACAGCUCGACGUGGAGCUGCCCCAUCUCUAUAGGGUAAGAGGAGCCCAGAGGCCAAGAACGACCCCGUGGGGGCAAGGGCUGGUCCUGCUUGCAGGAAGAGGUGCAGGAGAGACUCCGGUUGUUGGCGCGGCGGCGUGCUGCAUGCCGGCAGAUGAGAUACGGCCGCGCGGGCGCUCGUCCCUGCCUGGCUCUGCAGACCUGGGGAAGGGCUGGCCCCAUCCCCGCAGCCACGAUUGAUACAGCUAUGGGCCAUCGCUCCCUGUGUGGGAAGGGGAAAUUGCUCGCACAGCAAAGGGAAAUAAACAUGAGGAGACCAGCCCUGACAAAAAAGUGAGUGUUUCUCUAGAUUUGAGGCCCCGCUGCAGGCAAAGAUCUGCACGAUGCACGGCUGGGGCUUGGGAUGAAGGAGGGGAAGCCAGAGCUGUGGUGAUGUCUGUGAACUCCCUCUCUGUUAUGGGGAGUCCCUCCCUCUGGGGCUCAUCUCAGCUUUCAUCGCUGAGACAUCAGAGGGACCAAUGAGGGGGGAGUCAUGUGUUGUGGAAAAGGUCUAAUUGCCUAAACCUUCAAGCGGGGGUGAGGUGCUCCACCAAGUUCAGCAGCAGCCAAAAUGGGCUGAGUGCUUUCCCCAGGGAAGGGGUUGUCACCUGAAAUUGCAGUGGCUAAGCACACAGGUCUCGGUGCCCAGGCUCAGAUUCGUGUGACUCCCUGCUCUAUCCUUGCCUCCACCCUUCAACUCUUUCUGCCCCAUCCUUUGGCACAGGAAAAGUCCUUCAUAAGGUAGAAGGUCAACUGAGCCCUUUCAGCCGGGAGGGUGCUGGGCUCGUGGGGUCCUGGGCUGGCCCUGUGUGUGGGACUCACCUUCACUGACGCUGCCCUUGCAGGAGCAAGGGGCUGCAGGGCUGGCAGAGAGGUCAAAGCGGCUGACCCGGGCAAGGAACACCAGAAAAGUCCCCUAGGGAGGAAUUUUUUUGUCUCAGAACAGUCUAUGUUUCCUUGCAGGGACUGGAAGAGAAAGAGGCACUGCCAGCUGGCUGGACAUGCUGGGAAUGCCAUGGACGUGGCAGGCUGGGGUGGGGACUAGAGAUGUCAGGCAGCUGUAAAGCUGUAAGCAAGAGGAUUUGAACAUUACUCAGGAGCUGGAAACAGGGGAAGCUGGUGAUGGUCCUUAGAUCUGAGAGGGGUGUUGUGAUUGGUUGCAAGCAACCAGGGGCUUUGCCCCAUGAGGUGGAUGCUGGGGCAUUGGGAGCCUUUGCCAGCAAGUGAAGCCAUGUGAGGGGCUGAGCUGGGGAAUUGGGAGAGGGCAAAGUGUUGGGAGAGACCCAUGGCCAAGUGGGCGGGAGGCUGUUUAGGGUGAUUGCUGGCUUUACUAGAGAGGAGGGGUCCACAGUGGCUGGCAAGGCUGACCCCCACCAGGGCCCCACGCAGCCUGGAGCCCAGCCAAGGUAAGUCCCAAGAUGAGUUUGCAGCAGAGGUGAUAAACUCAGCGUAAGACUGCAGGGAGGAGUGAGGGAGGGAAGAGACAAGGAGGUUUUACAGAUGAGCUGAAAGCCCCAGAAGCUCCUCUGUCAUCCUGCAGGACCAGUGUCUCACCUGGGUAUUGGCAACCUGCUGGCUGUUCCAAAGAGAAAUGGAGAGCUGGGAGCAGGGCUUCCCAUCCCUUGCUUUAAAACACAGCCUUCAUCCUUAGCUCUGAGGCAGAGAGCCCUGUGGUGCAGGCCAGCACUAGCUCCCCAGUUCCACCAUUAGCUCCCACUUCCUUCAGCAAUCAUGCAAGCCAGAGGUCCUGCACUGCAGGGAAGGGUGAUUUUAGGAAAGAACUCAUGUCCUUCUAAAGUUUUCUCAGUAAGUGCUUUUUAUCCCUAUGUUCCUCCAUGCUCAAUACAUUUAUCUGCAGGAUUAAAGAAGCUUCUUGUAGUAGCUGGGAAAACUCCUUGCCUGGGGCUUGCCUGAGUUCAGGAGCCUCCAGCUCCCACCCUUUAGCCCUAGUGCAGGAUGUCAAGUGGUACCUUGCUUCGGGAAACUGGGAAGAGUCGAUGAGAUGCCUUGAGCCCAUGUGUGUGUUGGAGAGGGCUGUUCUUUUGGGGAUCAGUUUUACCCUCCCGAAGUUUCACAGCUGCAGUUGGCAGUAGCCAGAGCUCUCCCUGUUGGGCGGCUGCAUGCUGACUAGCCACAGCCUGGACUUUCUCUGGAGAUUUUAGAUGCCCCAGCCCUGUGUUCAUUAGCAUAUAGCCAAGGUUAGCCUGAGACUUGAGGCAGUGGUUUGCUCCAGCAGUGCAUUACCUUCACGCGUUACAAAUCAGAGCCGAAUUUCUCAGUGGUUUUGGCAGCAGGCAGGUGCCUGGAGCACGUUGCAGGGAGGCAGAGGAGAGGGGAGGAAAGGGCUUGUGGGGGAGGCAACAGAGAUUGAACAGGUGAACUUCACUCUUCCAGCUCUGCAAAAAAAGCUCCUACUCCUGAUCGGGCAGCAUUUGUACCAUUAUUUUGCCUUACUGCCUUCUGCAAUGCCACGAUUGUGAUUGGGUGCAUGGGCAGCACCAGUACAGAGCAUCACUGGAAUGGGGGUGCUUUUCCUAAAAGUGGCCCACGGUGUGCACUCGGGCAGCCUGGACUGAUGGGUCGGGAUGAGCAGUGCUUGAUCAUCCCCCAUGUAACUUCUAGAGAUGCCUAAAUAAUUAAUUAACAGUUUGGGGAAAUGAAAAUAUUGUACGGUGAGUAAUUGCUUGUGAAUGACGUUGUGCAUUGCUCAGCAGGUCACAGGUGGCUGCAGCAGCGCGGCAUUAGCAGUGCUGCGUGGUGCUGAGAGUUUCCUCUGAUUUUAUUUUCCUUUUUAUUUUUCUUUUUUCUUCCCAUGUGAACUUUCCUGCCUCUGGCUCCAAGCAGACACGAAGGCCUUUUGUUUCCCAGGGAACUGGGGUGAGGUGGUGGUACUGGAGUGUGGGCUGGUGACACAGGAUAUGCAGGGAACAGACAGGGACUCAUAGGAGCACCGCAGCCCCGCUCGGCCCUGCUCUUUGCAUUGCAUGAGGGAGAGAAGGGGCCACGGGGAGAGCAGCAGUCCCUUCCCCCAAAACCCCGUUUCCAGCAGAUGGGACUGGUGGCACUAUGCCAGGCAGAGCCCUUCCGUGGCGGUCCACACACACUGCUGACAAAGGGCUGCAGGCAUCCUGUCCCAGAUCCAUGUGUGGGCAGGGGGAGAGCCCAGGAGCCUGAUGCCGAUAGCGGUGACAAGGGACUUCUGUUUCUCUGAAGGGACCUGGGAAAUGUCCCCGACUGCCUGUCUCCAGCGUAUCGCGGUGCCAGAGGCAGUGAGCUGAAAGUAGAGCUGUGGUUCCCUGUGGGUGUCCUGGGGCAAGGAAUAGGAACGCCCCGCACUUCCCUCCAUGGGUCCAGGCAAACAUAGCACCCGGGCUGAGCUUUAGGCACAAUCGUGAGUUCGUGCCCCAGCAUUAAGCUGUGGCUUGUGUGGGCUCCUGGAGGAAGCCCGCACUGCAUCCUCCGUAGCUCCCGCUUGUCACUCCAUUAAAUUUCCAUUUUAACAUGGAAACAGCUGGUUUCAUGGUACCUCUAACUGUGUUAUUUACACAGUCAUGCACACAAUCCCGGCUGAAAACCGCAUUACUCACUGUGACAGCGACCCACUGUCUUGCAGGUACUGUGUGGGUGGGCGGGGAGGUGCUGCCAGCCCCUGGGUCAAGCCACCAGCCGCCUUCUUGCCUUGCCCACGGCCACCCUGGCAGCUUGUGGUGAAACCUGGCCAAUUCAACAGGGGCAAACCCAUCUCGGAGUCCUCUGGUUCAGCCUGAGGGCAGGAUCAGCCCAUCUCCAUUCACACUAGUUUGCAGCUCCCCAUGAACCUGGCCCUCCAUGCCAGCGCUGAGCUCCAAGGAUGGGAUGCCUGAUGCACAUCAAGGGACAGAGACAACAACCGUUUGCCAUGCUCAAUAGUGCUUUGUUCUCAGCCUGGGAAGCAAUGAAAAUCCUUCCACUUUGAAGCCUGCGGAGGCCUUUUUAUUUCAGCCAGGGCUCCUGGAGAAAAGGAACUGCAAGUGUUUUCCCAUAACAUGAUAAAAAGUUCUCCUGGCUGAGACCAUAGCAACUCGUUACACGUGAAAGCAGUGAGUCAGUACAGCAUGGGGCUGAGGUCAGCGCUUACGCAGUUGCUGGAAAUCGCUGGGCUUUAGGGUGUAUGUAACUGGCAUUUGGGAAAGCCUAGGUACAAGUCUUGCUGACUUCCCGGUGACUGCGCUCCACCUGGAGACCUGGCAGUCAUGGUGCAUGAUGGCUGUGGAGAGCAGUGUGAGGUGGUGGGCACAUCCUUCCCCAUGACCCCACCAGCAGGUAAGUGCAAAGCAGAGCUGAGCCACGCACGUGUCAUGGCUUUGCAUUUUAACAGCAGCAGGCUGUUGUCUAGGAACAAUAAAAACGAUCCCCUAGAAGGAAAAGCACCUAGGAGAUGAGAGGCAUUUAGCUCGACUUGGAAGCAAGGCUGUGAUUUACAGUGGCCAUAAAGCAGCCCAGCAUGGGCUGAGCAGAGGCCUUCCCCCAUCACUGCUGUCUGGGGAGCACAGAGAGGUGCAGGUCACGCAGCAGGAGAGAGCCCGCAAGCAUCCCAUGUUUGUACCCCACAGUGAGCAGCUGUGGGCAAGGGCUGGGGUGCAUGGCAGGAUCCCCUGUGUGCCCCAGGGUGACACGUGUGGCAGCAGUGUUCCUGAGGACAGGGGCUGCCAGGAUGUCUGUGGCUGUAUAGAGGGGGCCUGGGAUUGCUUCCCAUCCCUUCCCACCGUGCUGGGGCACAGUGGGUCCUCGCUGGCACAGCCCCAUCUAGGCUGGGAAACUCCUAAACCGUGAGGCUGGCCUAAUUAGUCUGUUUAAUCUUUCUCCAUAAAUCACUCCUCCCCAUCCCCUGCAGACUAUCGGCAGCAUCUGAAGUCAUUAGUUAAUUUAAACCUGGGAGCUGACUUAUCGGAAGCCAUCUCCAUUCCCGCUAAGCGCUUGCUCGGUGCCUUCCCUGGCUGCUAGAUCCUAUCUGCACCCACUUUGAAGCGGUGAGGGGCUGGCAAGCAGGCGAGGCUCUGCCUGCUCCCCUGCCUGCUGGCAGGUGGGAGGAGAGAUGGAGAGCUUGUUUCUCCCCCUCCCUGUGCUCCCCUUUUUUGAACUUCUCUGACUCAUCCGUUUGAUUUGAUGUUUUCACCUUCGUUUUACAAAUAGCAGUUUGCCCAAGCGCUGGAAGGAGAAGGAGGCUCUGACGCUGCUGCGGCUUCCCCGGCUGCAAGGGGAGAUGCCCAGGUCCCCAGGGCGGGCUGGCAGCCAGUGCCUCUGCAGGUCACGUCUGCUGCCGUGCCUCGCUGCCAGGCACCCUCCUGUUGCUGCUCCUUGUCCCCCCGAAGCCUUACUGCCUAACACUGCCCAGCAGACAUCUCACCGAGCGGAUACCUGCAUUUGAUGAUUUUGCUCCAGGCAUACCAGCUGCACGAAUCAAAGCUCAACCACAUCUUAUCUGCUGGCUGUGUUCCUGCUUGCUCCCAGUCCAAGAGUCCCACCUGCGGGGCAUACACAGCGGCUCCCCAGCACCGUGUGUCGCUGUGGCUUUGAGGUAUUGCGUUUGGGGGAUGGAGGGAGCCCCAGGUUAGGUAUCCAAGCUGUGGGUUGGAGGGGCUGGCACAGCAGGGGCUCUGUCUGCCAGGAGUUUGCUGGUCAUUACUAUAAGGUUAGCCUUAAAUAAUGGGAAUAAUAAACAUACAGCAGCCUGGAGGGAAGAAGAGAGCAAACUGAAUCCUAAUGACUUUGCACGGACGCAUCAGCAUGAUCAUUUCACAGAAAUCAUUUUAAAAAGGAAGGAAAAAGCAUAAAGUUUAGGUUGAAGGACGUGGGACACAGCAGCCAGGGUGUAGUCCCAUGUGGUCAUGGAGGUGACCCUGUGCCCCUGUCCCCACCAAGGUUCCCAUGCCGUGGAGCUGCUCCUGCCCUGCUGCACUGGGUAAGGUCCAGGGCAAGCCCUGGCUGCAGAGGGAGUUGGAAACAGAUCUGAAGGAUGGAGGGAGGAGCUGCGGGGUGGGGACUGGCAUCUUGUCAUCAGCUUUGCUGAAACUGAGUGUGAUGCAUGGUGUGAAGGAGCAGGACGUUUGCUUUUAGGGAUGGCCAAAAUUUACCAAGAGCUGUAGUGGCAAACACCGAAAGAGGAAGUUUUAGAAGAGAAAUGAAACGUUAAUGCCUCAGGGCUUAAGGGUGGUCCUCAGUGCCAAGGCAGGAAAGAAAUUAGUGCUAUAGAUGGGGAAAUAACCAGCAUUAAAUGGAAGCAGGGUGACAGCAGGUUGAAGGGGGCAAAAGGAAGAGGAUAAAGGGCACAGGAGCUCUCCAGGAGAUAGCAGGGACUGAGCCUGGAGCACCUUCAAGAUGCCUCCAGCACACCAAGCCCCAGCAGUACCCAGCACAUUUCCAGGGGAAUGUGCCUGCAACGCCCUAGCCCUCCACCUCGCCCCGUCUCUCGCUGGCCAUGGGCCAGGUGAAAGGCUCCCACAAGCACAGCAGGGACCAGUCCAACCCUGCGCAGCUCCAAUUAUCCCAGGCUGGAGACUUUCCAGGAAUCCCAUCCUCUCUCUCUACCCUGAUUCUGCCUCCCCAGUCUCCCCCCCUCAAAGCAAUUCGACUUUUAUAGUAAUAACUUAUGAACCCUGAGUUGGGGUUGUGCCAAGGAAAGCAGCAGAAAACAAUGUGAUGGGCCUCGGCAGGCGCGGAAACUCCAGCGACUGAGACCAGCCCUAAAAUAACUUCUGAGCAAUUGUUAUUUAUUCUGGGAGAAAGUUCGUUCAUUCACAAUUUGGAGGGAAGAUGAAUCAGGGCGGGCUCAGGCUGCCUGCCCCCGCACCGAGGCAGCACGCCACAGCUGAGAAUGCAGGGUGCCUGCAGCACCAGGCACAGCCAGCUCACCGCAGUCCUCCUGCACGCGUGCAUUCCCGUGCCCUGCUGAAAAAGCCACACUGCUGUUUUUUUGUUUGAGUUUUUUGUUUUGUAUUUAAGGGUAUUUGGGUUCAACUGAAAGCGCUGGGUUUAGAUGAAGGAGUUUGGCUUGAAGCACGUGCCACCAAGUGCAGUGGACUGUGUGCCGCAUGUGUCUGUGCCUGCAUGUGUUUCGGCUUCCCCUGGCACGCUGUGUGGUGUGAAUGCUGUGCUGCAUGCCUCUGGCUUGCACACCUGCCCCUGAGUAGAGCACACUUGAGCCAUCAGCGUCUGACAGGCAGUGGGUGGUGCAGGCAAGCGCCAGGCAGGAAACACAGGCAGCAUCCUGCUGCGGGUCCUGGUGAGCAUCAGCAUGUGCACAGCAGCUGCCAGCCUGCAUUGUCUGGGCACAUGGCGAGUGAAGUGACCUCAGUAACGGAGUGCCAUUUUCACAGCUCUGAGCCUUACACAGCUUCCCUGCAAUCGGUGAGGGAUCUGCCAGAGCUCCUGGCUCCACUGGAGGAGCCUUGGGCAGGCAGGGAAACAACAGUCACUUUCUCAAUUGAGGAAAGUACUCUUUGGAGGAUGCAGCCAGCCAGCAAGGCAGUCCUCAGCACUGCCACGCAUCUGCUCGUGCGGAUGUGUUUUAUGGUACCUGUCAUCACUGUCUGGGUGCCAGCCCGAGAUCUGAAGCAUAGCAGUGGCUUUGCCAGCCAGGACUCAGGCUGCCUGUGCACCCCGGGGUGAGAAGUUUCGCUCUCUGGGCAGAUUUGGAGAGUUAAUGCUGGGGAAAUACUGCUGUCUGCAGGCUGAGAAACAUGGUCUGUCCCUGCAAUGGGAUGAUGGGGGUGACAGAGACCUUGCUGCAUCUGUGAGCACAUGGGUGGGAUGAGGACAGACAGUGACCCGGGUGGGGAUGACAGGCAUCUCCAGGUUUGUGUGCGAAUUAUCUCCAGGAAGGAUAUGCCUCCAAGACCAUCUGCCUCCCAGUAUCCCCAGGGCAAGGCUCAAUCUUGCUCCACCACGGCACCAGCCAGCUCAGCCACAAGCGCAUGGUGGCAGUGGGACACAUCACCUUCGGCACCCACCCUGCACAUCAGCUUCUGGAAUGUGCACAUUUCUGGAGUGGGAAAACCCUGCCACGUUCCUGCACAAGGCCUGCAGGGCUUGUCCAGGCCACCCCCCUCCUCCUGCUGCCUGCAUUCCAGGGGACUUUGCUGAGUGUUACCUAACGUUUUUGCAUUUUGGAUUUUUCUGUGAUGUGUGGACACAGCGGAUCUGGGGCCCCAAAGCUGCAGAAGAGACUCAGCCUGGUGCUGCCAAGGGAGUGAUUCGGAUCUGUCCCUUGCUGGGCAAGGAGAGCACAAGUUUGUGUUUAGCAACACAAACAGCCUGGUACUGGAUAAACUGUGGCUCGGCUGACCUCGCAGCACAGACCAGGGGGAGAGCAGCGUUGAGGCUGGGUCAGACAGCGGGCAGAAGCAGCCCUCCGGCUGCACGGCACACACAGCUUCCUUUGUGGCACCGUGCCUGCGAUGGUGAGACUGGCCCUGCUGGGCGACAUCUCUCAUCCUGCCAGGCAGGAAAGCCUUCGGCCCCACACUCCUCCUCACCUCGCCACAUCCCCUGCCCUCUGCCUGUCCCCUGCCCUCUGCCCUGCCACCACUGCAGGCAGCCCCACACUUGCCAGCUGACUUUCAUGCUCACAGCUCUUUGGGCUCUUUGAGCGGCUCAUGAUCUCGGCAGGCAGCUUGGGCUCUUACUAGCCGUUAUUGCAAUGAUUAUUUUUGUUUUUCUGGCUCGAAAGGGCUCUCCUCUCGCCUCGGUCCCACCUGGCUCUGAGCUCUGAGCCAGGUGGGUCUGAGCAAGGAACAAGGAGAGUGGGGAACACCCUGCACUGCUGGGGCAGGGAACCAUAGUGGGAUGGAAGAGACAAGGCACAGGUGAAAGGAGGUCUUGUUCCUCCUCCUAAAGGUUCAGAUUGGAAAUCAACACCCACUUGGUUAAUUUAUUAGCUUUGAUUAGUGACUCUGAAGCUUAGAUCAGUUAAUGGGCUCCCUCCUGCUGGUAAAUCUCCAAGAGAAGCUCAGUGAGGUUAUCUGCACCAGCAAGGGUGAGAGAAGGAUGAGGAUGAGAGCAAUUGAAUUAGGAAGCUGUUAAUCAGAGAAGCUAAAGUGAGUCCGAGCUGGCACAAUGCAAGAUGGCAGGGCAGAGCACUGCGCCACAGCUGUACCCAGCUGCAUCAGGGCUGGGGAGAAGCUCCCCUUGGACACCAGCUUAAGCUAGGGUUUGGUAUUGUAUUUGCUGGCCCUAUCCCUUGCAGAUCACAUCACCAAUACCUCGUUCUUGCCAUGCGGGCUGCAUCUUCCUCCAGGUAGGGUUCUUCUGUGGCUUGGGUUUGGUCAUUGAUUAAAUUAGCUGAGAAGUAAUCUAUUUCUGAUGAUAAUAUGAUGUUGUGACCUUUAGUGUUUUCAUUAAAAUAUACAUGUAUAUAUUUGUUUUCUGUGGUUAUGAAUGUAAUUCCACAACCCACUUAGGAGCCAGUAAUUUUCUGGCUGAGGUGGGAAGUUGCUGACAUCUUGUGAUACAUGACAAGAUUGAUUGUAUUUGCUUACCCCUUAACCUAAUAAA